GGAAAAAUGAGAGCCUGAAAAGAAAACUGGAGGCAGCUGAGAAAGCAUCGACAACUGCCAAGAUGAUAAAACGAUUGGAAAAAAUGCUCAACACUGCAAACAAGCAGGAAAGCAUAAACAGCGUGGAGUGUCCAAAGGUUGACAUCGGCUCAGGUGUCCUUGUAGACUCAACUGUGCUCCAACGACUGGAGAGAUCUUGCCAGGGGCAGGAAAGUUUGCUCGGUCUCUUUUGCGUCACCUGUUCACAGACGACGAGUUGCGUGCAAAGUCGCUCUUUGGUGUAAGAACCAACUUGCAAAAACAUAAGGAACCAAA